rnacentral:rRNA from 1 species
UUUUAUGAGAGUUUGAUCCUGGCUCAGGACGAACGCUGGCGGCGUGCCUAAUACAUGCAAGUCGAACGCAUUUUCUUUCACCGUAGCUUGCUACACCGGAAGAAAAUGAGUGGCGAACGGGUGAGUAACA